AAAAAACCUUUUUCCAUUAUAAGCCAUUUCCAGGUUGCAACCCCUUGGCGGUGACAAAGUGCUCUCCUCCACAUCUUCAUUUUGUGCUGAUCUGUAAGAGGGGGGGACGACUGUCAUCUGUCACCACACUAACCCCGCGCGGCUGCACCUCUAAUUGCAGCCAACUGUCGACGCGUUCAUUUAGACCUUUUUACAUUAUUUAUCGGGGGGAAAAUAUUGUAUUGAUUUUGGAUGCCUGGUCGGGAUGGCGACGAGGCAGGACGGGUAUAAGUGAUGUGGCUAAAGAGCUGAUAGGACACUCUAUAAACUUUUACAUCACCGUGUCAAAGCUGCACUUUGCCGACAUAAAAUGAACACAGUCGUGGAGUAUUAGUUAGAGUGGGAGAUGACUGUGCAGGCGGUGAAUCGUAAAGCCGAGAGCGCCGGCUCUGGUGAUUACGCAAGAUAGUGGCACAAGUGCAGAUAACCCCACCCCGUCUAACCAUGAGUCUGAGUGGAGAGAGGAGAGCAGCAGGGCUUGGCGGAAUGUUCCAGUCAUUUGACGGGGCUCAGUGAGAUGGAAUGGCAGGAGUCUAGCUGGAGGAACAGCAGCAGCUGCGUGAGAGAGAAAAGAGGUCCAGAAGAGGGUGCCACUGAUCAAAAUGAUGGACUUUUCCUGGUCGGCGGAGUUUUAGACCUGAUCUGAUGAAGCUGGUAGCUUCAGGGACCGAUAAAGCGCUGGCACAUAAAAGCUUUUCUGCUUCUCUUCAUUCUGGUUGUUCUCAUUGAGAUAACAUCUCCUUUACUAAGCACUAGUCAACCUCAGGGCCAGAAGAGGCCAGACUGAAGAGGAGCCAUUGGACUUUGACUGGAAUAAUAGUAGUUUGUUUGAAAUGUAAGUGUCCUCCGUUAUGCUUGUUUAUUUUGCCGACAGUGUGAUUUGUGCGUAAUUUCCACCUGCGAUUGUAGAAUCGUCAUUAAAGCAUGUUUUGAUAAAGUGCAA
rnacentral:lncRNA from 1 species